AAUCACUGGCGGCGGCUUACACAUGCAAGUCGCACGAUGAUUACCAGCUUGCUGGUAUGAUUAGUGGCGAACGGGUGAGUAAUGCUUAGGAAUCUGCCUGGUAGUGGGGGACAACAUUCCGAGAGGAAUGCUAAUACCGCAUACGACCUACGGGUGAAAGGGGGCGCAAGCUCUCGCUAUCAGAUGAGCCUAAGUCGGAUUAGCUAGUUGGUGGGGUAAAGGCCUACCAAGGCGACGAUCUGUAGCUGGUCUUAGAGGAUGAUCAGCCACACUGGGACUGAGACACGGCCCAGACUCCUACGGGAGGCAGCAGUGGGGAAUAUUGGACAAUGGGCGAAAGCCUGAUCCAGCCAUGCCGCGUGUGUGAAGAAGGCCUUUUGGUUGUAAAGCACUUUAAGUGGGGAGGAAAAGCUAAUAAUUAAUACCUAUUAGCCCUGACGUUACCCACAGAAUAAGCACCGGCUAACUCUGUGCCAGCAGCCGCGGUAAU
rnacentral:rRNA from 1 species